rnacentral:tRNA from 1 species
UGGGAUAGCUCAGUCAGGAGAGCAUGAGAUUCUUAAUCUCAGGGUUGUGGGUUCGAGCCCCACGUGGGCAA